rnacentral:misc_RNA from 1 species
GAUGAAGAACGCAGCGAAAUGCGAUAAGUAAUGUGAAUUGCAGAAUUCAGUGAAUCAUCGAAUCUUUGAACGCACAUUGCGCCCGCCAGUAUUCUGGCGGGCAUGCCUGUCUGAGCGUCAUUUCAACCCUCAUGCCCCUAGGGCGUGGUGUUAGGGAUCGGCCAAAGCCCGCGAGGGACGGCCGGCCCCUAAAUCUAGUGGCGGACCCGUCGUGGCCUCCUCUGCGAAGUAGUGAUAUUCCGCAUCGGAGAGCGAUGAGCCCCUGCCGUUAAACCCCCAACUUUCCAAGGUUGACCUCAGAUCAGGUAGGAAUACCCGCUGAACUUAAGCAUAUCAAUAAGCGGAGGA